UAACACGUAGGUAACCUGCCCAUGUGUCUGGGAUAACUGCUGGAAACGGUAGCUAAAACCGGAUAGGUAUUCGGAGCGCAUGCUCUGUAUAUUAAAGCGCCCUUCAAGGCGUGAACAUGGAUGGACCUGCGGCGCAUUAGCUAGUUGGUGAGGUAACGGCCCACCAAGGCGAUGAUGCGUAGCCGGCCUGAGAGGGUAAACGGCCACAUUGGGACUGAGACACGGCCCAA
rnacentral:rRNA from 1 species